GACGAACCGUGCAAACGUUAUUCGGAAUCACUGGGCUUAAAGGGCGCGUAGGCGGGCAAUCAAGUCCGGGGUGAAAUCCUCCAGCUUAACUGGAGAAGUGCCUCGGAUACUGGUCGUCUCGAGGAGGGUAGGGGCAUCUGGAACUAGCGGUGGAGCGGUGAAAUGCGUUGAUAUCGCUAGGAACUCCGGUGGCGAAGGCGAGGUGCUGGACCCUUUCUGACGCUGAGGCGCGAAAGCCAGGGGAGCGAACGGG
rnacentral:rRNA from 1 species